AUCCAAGUGAUGAGUCCCAGAUAGGAUGAAACGUACAUCUUGGAU
rfam:Schistosoma haematobium scaffold119_13, whole genome shotgun sequence.